UACGAAGGGGGCUAGCGUUGCUCGGAAUUACUGGGCGUAAAGGGCGCGUAGGCGGCACUGUUAGUCAGGCGUGAAAGUCCUGGGCUCAACCUGGGAACUGCGCUUGAUACGGCAGAGCUAGAGGAUGGAAGAGGCUCGCGGAAUUCCCAGUGUAGAGGUGAAAUUCGUAGAUAUUGGGAAGAACACCGGUGGCGAAGGCGGCGAGCUGGUCCAUUACUGACGCUGAGGCGCGACAGCGUGGGGCGCAAACAGG
rnacentral:rRNA from 1 species